rnacentral:lncRNA from 1 species
AGGAGGCGCCGAGAGCGAGGGAGGGCAGCCAGCACGCUGUCACCUCUCACUGGGACACAGUUCAGAGCCUAGCCCUGUGGUAACACUUCUUGAUAACAAAGAACAGAAUCAUAGGAGAGAGGAGCACCAGGGGUUGACAGAAGCAGCCUUUGAAUCAGGAAGCAUCAGGACUACAAGUGGGAGGGCAGAAUCCACCUCCCUCAAUAUGCUGAAGCAGAGAAAACUCCAGAGAACGGCCAGGGCAUCCUGGGAUUACAAGCAGCAGAGGGCAGUGUAGAUGCAAAGGAGGAACCAGUUGGCAUGAUGACAACGUAUUUGGCCCUGGCAAUAGAUUAUGGCUGGUACAAACCAGUUCUCAGGAUAUCUUACAACUAGAGGCAGCCUUAAGACCCUGUUUUGUCGAGAAUACCUACUUGGAAGUCUAGUCAAAAGAUCAAACAUCAAACUGCCAAAGACAGAAAAUUAUUUACUGAUGUACAUUAUUUGACAAACUAUUCAAAGGAAUGACCCCACUAUUUAUGCAGUUUUAAGCAGAGAAGGAGAGUCUCCAGGAACUAUACGAAUUAAUCAACUUGAGCAAUCAGCCUGUUUUACAGCCUCCUGCCUUGGAGACUACUUUUUCCAAAACUCUAUGUGGGAUGUGGUCACCUAGUUGGUUGGAACCAGCUCCUGACAGACCCCAGCAACUGACAGAUGAACCUGAGUGAACUUUCCUCAUUAUCAUGCUAAAGUCUCCAUCCCGAAAGGAACUAUAGCUUCAUUACCAGAACAUGCAACCUUUGUGCUGGCAUAAAGGCUCACUGCGUCUAAAGCAACUGGGACCCGUCCCGUACAUGUGAUGAUGCACACUCUCCUCUCUCCAUAGCGCCAUAAACUCUCUCAGGGAGACACUGCUUUGAGGAAUGCUUCCUUACUUGUGCUAAGUAAUAAAACUCCUAUUGAUUAAAAUUUACAUUCUUGUGGAUUCGUUUGUUACUGGACAAGUGAGUGAAUUCAUUUUUUUUCAGGUUAGUCAUCAAAAUAAACUUUGUGGAUAUGAUUGUACAUUACUUAUUCUUUUAUUCUCAUACCUCCAUUUAUAUUCAUGUUCUGUUAAUUCUACAUUCCUAAAGAAUUAAACUUUCUCUUCCAAAAGAUCUAUUAUGGCCUUUAUACAAUGUCUUUAUAAUUUUCUAUGAGAACUAUUGAAGUAGCUGCCUAAUUAAUAUCUCCGUCUUAGGUUUGUAACCUUUUUGUUCAUUUUCUAGUCUUCUAUCAAAGUAAUCUUUCUCAAAUAUAAAUCUGGUCAUAUUUGUUCCAUGCUUACAUCUCUUUGAUUACUUCCCAUUAUCUACUAAAAAAUGUUCAAAUGUCUGGCUCGAGAAACAUGAUCUUCUUGAUGAUUUUGCUGGCUUUUUCAUCUUCAUUUUCUACUUGUGACCCCUUGAAUCCAACAAACCAGUUAUAAUAAAGCAUGCUUUUCUUCAUCAUUUGCUACCUUUUCAUGGAAUAUCUUAUCCUUUGCCCUCCAUUUCCCUUAUAUCUUCUCUUUGUAGAUCAAGUUCAAGCAAUAUGUUCUCUGUGAAGUUUUUCCUGACUAGUCCUAAUGCAACUACCUCUCAAAGUUAUGUUAAUAGCAGACCUUCCCUUUACAUAACUCCAUGCUAUACAGACCUCUCUUAUAUUACCUACAGUAUAUUUCCAUGUUUUUUUAUCUUGCUAGCCUGUAAGACCUCUAAGGCUAUUACUCAUUUUUGUAAUAUCAAAAGUACAAGUUAUAUAUGGUAUGUAAUGAGUGAUUAAAACAUUUGUUGAACGAUUUUACAUGUGUGUCUAAAAUGC